rfam:Danio rerio chromosome 1 genomic contig CTG111, GRCz11 reference primary assembly.
GCUGGCAGCUUGCUCUCACAUGGUCGCCCACUGAAGCUAAGCAGGGAUGCGCCUGGUCAGUACCUGGAUGGGAGACCACAUGGGAAAGCUAGGUUGCUGCCGGAA